UGGUGGAGUGAUUUGUCUGGUUAAUUCCGUUAACGAACGAGACCUCAGCCUACUAAUUAGUUUAUCGAAUGUUACAUUCGCAUAAACAUCUUAGAGGGACUAUCGGUUUUUAGCCGAAGGAAGUAUGAGGCAAUAACA
rnacentral:rRNA from 1 species